CACCAAAGGCGGGAGCCUCUCAGCAAUUAAAGCCCCCUCCACUCAAAUGUCUGGAAGUCCACUCACUUACUCGUCACACUCGUCAAGCCCUCGUCCUCCCCGAGACCUGCGAUCGCGGUUUCCGCCUCUGAUCGAAUGUCCGUCCGCUGCACCACCGCCAAAAUACCCGUCUCUGAGUUAGGGUUUCUCUCCGAUUCACUGGCCCAAUGGUUGAGUCCGCGCUGUAGCUCGUCUCCGAAAUCGGCACCCACCUCCGCCGCCAAACCCGCCCAAACAAGGACUCCAUCGUCAAAUCGCUCCAACAAGCUGCGAGUGCACUGUCACAGUUAGAACAGGCUUCUUCGGCUGAAGCUUCUAGGAAGUUGGAGCCCUGAGAGAAGCUAUUGUGCAUAGCUUGCUUCAGCAUAAGGAUGUCAGGCUUCUAGUGGCCAUUUGUGUCACUGAAAUGUUUCGGGCUAUGGCACCCGAACCUCCUGUCGCCGACAAAUAUCAUGUUCGUGGAGCUAGCUGACAUGGAAAGCCCGCUCUUCUCGAGGAGGGCUAAAAUAGUAGACUGUUGCACGAUGUAAAUGUUGUGUGAUCAUGUUGGAUAUUAACUGCAAUGAUCUAGUUCUCGAAAUGUUUAAUAUAUUCUUCUCUGUUGUGAGGCAACACCAUCAGCAGAGUUUGAUAAAUGAUAUUUUGUCUAUAAUGGUUCAUAUACUAAACGAGGAAGCUUCUCAGCCACUUUUGAAUGUGGUUCUACAAAAUCUUGUGAAGGAGUUAAA